ensembl:lncRNA
CCACCUUUUAACACAGCUUCCUUGUCCGAUAUUUUCCCUUUUGCACCAAUGCCCCUGUGAACGCCCUCUGACUUGCGAAGAAAAAGAGAACUAACCACAUCCUGUGCUCAAGCUCUACAAUGCCUCACUUCGUCAUUAAAUUAUUGAUCUUGGUGACUUGGUUGUCUCAAGCUCAAGGUCGAGAAAUCCAUCCAGCAAGGAUUUAUGCAGUUAAAAACAGCGGCAAACUGGAGUUCACAUGCAGUACACAUGGGAUGAAGGAAACAUUCGAGAAGAACAGCAACUUAUAUAUUUACCUCUGUAGGAAUGGCACUGGCAUAGCCAUGAAAUCAGAUUGUCAAGAUGUUACAUUUAUUAUAGACGACAUUACAAAGGAUGAUACAGGAGACUACAGUUGUGUCUUUUCAUCGUAUAAGUAUGAUCCUGAGGAUGUAAGAGGAAAUGGCAUCAAUUCCAUCUUCAUUACUGUGAACGAUUCGUUCAUCCCGGCGGAGAUAGCCUCGACGGAGACGAGUGUAAAAAUGGGAAGUGAUGUUGAUCUCCAGUGUACCUCUUUAAAAUUACCCGAGAGGAACCAGAAAGGCAACGUUUAUGCCUAUCUGUACAAGAACGGUUACACAGUGCAGAACGGCACUGUAAUUCAGGUGAAUAUUUGGGACACAGUGAAGAACAAGGCAAGGUUUACUCUAAAAGAAGUCACGAUGCGAGACGCUGGAACGUACUUCUGUUUUCUGAUGUCGGAGCCAUGCACUUUUCCUAAAGAAGUGCAUGGCAUCAAUGAAGUCAACCUUAACAUUACUGAUCCAAGAUAUGAAGUUAUACUCACUGAGACAUAUGAUCCAGUGCGGAAGAGAAAUAUUUUACGAUUAGGAUUCUCGGGUGGAGUGAUCAUUAUUGCAUGUUGCAUCGUGAUUUUCGACUUCAAGACAAGCUCACGUUCUUCCAGCUCAGUCUAAGCCAAGGAUAGGAAUGAUUCAUAAAAUUCAACAUGUCUAGUCUGAUGUCAACAUUGUGAGUCUUGUGUAUUACCCAGUGUGUUUUUUUUUUUUUUUGCUGUUUUACAUACAGGUGAAUAUUCAGGAGCUAACAUGAUGAAAUAUUUCAUGUGGAAUCAAAAAUGGUACUAGAGUAAAAUUGUAACAUGUUUAGGAGAACUGAGUCAUGGCAGAAGAUGUUUAAGCUCAACAGAAGUGAAUAAACCGUUAUAAUUAAUGU